CAUUUGAUAGUACCUUACUACUUGGAUAACCGUGGUAAUUCUAGAGCUAAUACAUGCUGAAAACCCCGACUUUCGAAGGGGUGUAUUUAUUAGAUAAAAAACCAAUGCCCUUCGGGGCUCCUGGAUGAUUCAUAAUAACUUAACGAAUCGCAUGGCCUUGCGCCGGCGAUGGUUCAUUCAAAUUUCUGCCCUAUCAACUUUCGAUGGUAGGAUAGUGGCCUACCAUGGUGUCAACGGGUAACGGGGAAUUAGGGUUCGAUUCCGGAGAGGGAGCCUGAGAAACGGCUACCACAUCCAAGGAAGGCAGCAGGCGCGCAAAUUACCCAAUCCCGAUACGGGGAGGUAGUGACAAUAAAUACUGAUCAGGGGCUCAUUUGGGCCUCUGAAUUGGAAUGAGUACAAUUUAAAUCCCUUAACGAGGAACAAUUGGAGGGCAAGUCUGGUGGACGCAGAUCGUUCUCGAUGCUGGCACCAGAAAAUGCGAACAGYGRGACUGUUCGCCAGUCGACUCGGACCGCCGUYCGAGGAGGCGAGGCAAUCUGGCUCGGGGAACCUCCGCCGYGSGCGGGGCACCCCGCAGUGAGCGUGGCUUUYGGCCGCGCCGCUGUAACGCGCGCAAAGAUGCCGGCUUUUCCCCCGGGGGACGAGUUUGAGGGACGUGCUAUUCCCACCUGAUCGCAGGUGUUUUGGUAACAUGC
rnacentral:rRNA from 1 species